rnacentral:rRNA from 1 species
GAUCCUGGCUCAGGAUGAACGCUGGCGGCGUGCCUAACACAUGCAAGUCGAGCGAAGCACUUUGCUUAGAUUCUUCGGAUGAAGAGGAUUGUGACUGAGCGGCGGACGGGUGAGUAACGCGUGGGUAACCUGCCUCACACAGGGGGAUAACAGUUAGAAAUGGCUGCUAAUACCGCAUAAGACCACAGCACCGCAUGGUGCGGGGGUAAAAACUCCGGUGGUAUGAGAUGGACCCGCG